rnacentral:rRNA from 1 species
GACGAACGCUGGCGGCGUGCUUAACACAUGCAAGUCGAACGCUGAAGCUCAGCUUUUGUUGGGUGGAUGAGUGGCGGACGGGUGAGUAACACGUGAGUAACCUGCCUCCUUCUUUGGGAUAACGCCCGGAAACGGGUGCUAAUACUGGAUAUUCACUGGUCUUCGCAUGGGGGUUGGUGGAAAGGGUUUUUCUGGUGGGGGAUGGGCUCGCGGCCUAUCAGCUUGUUGGUGGGGUGAUGGCCUACCAAGGCUUUGACGGGUAGCCGGCCUGAGAGGGUGACCGGUCACAUUGGGACUGAGAUACGGCCCAGACUCCUACGGGAGGCAGCAGUGGGGAAUAUUGCACAAUGGGCGCAAGCCUGAUGCAGCGACGCCGCGUGAGGGAUGGAGGCCUUCGGGUUGUGAACCUCUUUCGCUCAUGGUCAAGCCGCAACAAUGGUUGUGGUGAGGGUAGUGGGUAAAGAAGCGCCGGCUAACUACGUG